GGAAUAUUGGACAAUGGGCGAGAGCCUGAUCCAGCCAUGCCGCGUGCAGGAAGACGGCCCUAUGGGUUGUAAACUGCUUUUAUACAGGAAGAAACACUCCCUCGUGAGGGAGCUUGACGGUACUGUAGGACUAAGGAUCGGCUAACUCCGUUCCCGCCGCCGCGGUAAUACGGAGGAUCCAAGCGUUAUCCGGAAUCAUUGGGUUUAAAGGGUCCGUAGGCGGGAUAAUAAGUCAGAGGUGAAAGUCUGUGGCUCAAACAUAGAAUUGCCAUUGAUACUGUUGUUCGUGAGUGUUUAUGAAGUGGUUAGAAUAUGUAGUGUAGCGGUGAAAUGCUUAGAUAUUACAUGGAAUACCGAUUGCGAAGGCAGAUCACUAAUAAAAUACUGACGCUGAUGGACGAAAGCGUAGGUAGCGAAC
rnacentral:rRNA from 1 species